rnacentral:rRNA from 1 species
AAGCGGAGGAAAAGAAACUAACAAGGAUUCCCCUAGUAGCGGCGAGUGAAGCGGGAAGAGCUCAAAUUUGUAAUCUGGCGUCCUUCGGGCGUCCGAGUUGUAAUCUAUAGAAGUGUUUUCCGUGCCGGACCAUGUCCAAGUCCCUUGGAACAGGGUAUCAAAGAGGGUGACAAUCCCGUACUUGACAUGACCACCGGUGCUCUGUGAUACACUUUCUACGAGUCGAGUUGUUUGGGAAUGCAGCUCAAAAUGGGUGGUAAAUUCCAUCUAAAGCUAAAUAUUGGCGAGAGACCGAUAGCGAACAAGUACCGUGAGGGAAAGAUGAAAAGCACUUUGGAAAGAGAGUUAAACAGUACGUGAAAUUGUUGAAAGGGAAACGAUUGAAGUCAGUCGUGUUCUUUGGACUCAGCCGGUUCUUCCGGUCUAUUUCCUUUGAACGGGUCAACAUCAGUUUUGUCCGGUGGAUAAAGGCAGGAAGAAAGUGGCUCCCUCGGGAGUGUUAUAGCUUUCUGUCACAUACACUGGAGGAGACUGAGGACUGCAGCUCGCCUUUUGGCCGGGGUUCGCCCACGUUCGAGCUUAGGAUGUUGACAUAAUGGCUUUAAACGACCCGUCUU